GAUGAAGAACGUAGCGAAAUGCGAUACGUAAUGUGAAUUGCAGAAUUCAGUGAAUCAUCGAAUCUUUGAACGCACAUUGCGCCCCUUGGUAUUCCGAGGGGCAUGCCUGUUCGAGCGUCAUUAUCACCCUUCAAGCUUUGCUUGGUGUUGGGGCAUGCCAUCACAGGCAGCCCUUAAAAUCAGUGGCAGUAACCAUUAGGCUCUAAGCGUAGUAAUUCUUCUCGCUAUAGCGUCUGGUGGUCGCGCGCCAAAACCCCCCAUUUUUCAUGAUUGACCUCGGAUCAGGUAGGGAUACCCGCUGAACUUAAGCAUAUCAAUAAGCGGAGGA
rnacentral:misc_RNA from 1 species